rnacentral:ncRNA from 2 species
GUAGUAAUACGAUGGAUCGGUACCGAUCGCGGUUUAAUAGGGAAUCCGGAAUGAGCCGGAGCUGUCCCCGCAACUGUGAACGCGGACGACCGCCGGGAUUGCCACUGUGGUGAAAACCAUGGGAAGGCCGGCGGAAGGAUGAUGCGCAGCCAGUAGACCUGCCGGCCGUCGUGCAGCGAC